rnacentral:rRNA from 1 species
UACGUAGGGUGCAAGCGUUAAUCGGAAUACUGGGCGUAAAGCGUGCGCAGGCGGUUUGUGUAAGACAGAUGUGAAAUCCCCGGGCUCAACCUGGGAACUGCAUUUGUGACUGCACAGCUGGAGUGCGGCAGAGGGGGAUGGAAUUCCGCGUGUAGCAGUGAAAUGCGUAGAUAUGCGGAGGACACCGAUGGCGAAGGCAAUCCCCUGGG